GCCAUUGCCGACUUCAGAGCUACUUGCUCAACGAUUCAAGAAAAACUUAUAUGUCAAGCCAUAUAACAAGUCUAAUGUGGAUUGGACUGGAAGAAUAGCUUAUGCAGACCAUUCUACAUAUAGAUGGUGCGCUGUUGCUUUGCCUGACGAGAACCAAUUUCCACCUUCUGUCAAUCUUAAGCCCAUUUGUUUGGAGUCCACUGAGCCGAAGGUUGAAGAAAAUCGUCUAGCUUUAAUCAACACUAGUCUAGAUGAAGGUUAGUACUCUAACAUUUCUUUUAAUGCGUUUAUCUUUGUAUGUUGUUACUUGGGUAGUGUGGAUAUGUUUGGUUUUGUUGUUCAUGGUUGAUGCGUGACAGAAGGCGGUGAGUUGGAAUGGAAUUGGCUAAGGAGCCCUGCGGUAUCUAUAGCAGAAAAUGUGCUGGAAGACUUGAUUUCUUCUUUUAAACACAUGAGGAAUGAAAUGAAGUGCGGAAAGCCCACUUUGAUUGCUAGAGUGGGGAAAGUACUUUUUCGUAGGUGAGAUUUCUUCCUUAUCUGAGUCAUUUAGUUGAUUGUUUCAUGCGAUUAUCCUUUUUACCUUUAUGUUGUUCUUUUAUCCGCCUCGGAAUACUGGUUGAAGUAGAACAAAAUAAUAGUCGAUAAUAUGAUAGAAGGUUACAUUUGGCAUUUUAGUUUAGAAGGUAGGAUGCCAAGUUGGACAGUGAAGCAGGAUUCUAUAACUCUGCCCUUGAUUUUCGAUACUUGAUACAAUAUUAUAUUGUUAUCGAUGCUUAAUUACUGUCAAUCAUCUCAUACUUCAUAUCAGUUUUGUACAAGGACAGUGGUAUAACAAUUUUUGUUAAAAUCUUUGAAUCAGGAGCCCUUUAGUUAACAUGGAAGACAUCAGAACAAAUUUGUGUACUGAAAUCUUGAAACAGUGGAGACGAUCAUUGUACACAAACAUUCCUGUUUCAUAUAAGGAAAGGAUUGUGAACGAAGUUGUCCCGAAAAUUGGAGUUGAUUUCGAAGGGGAGAAAGAUACAUACCAAGUAAAGGUAUUUCUUUUAGACACAUCAACUUACUGAGUUCUGAGUUCAUGCUUUCUACAAUUCUGACUUUUGCUAUUGACUCACUAAUCUAUGUCCUUCUUGUAUAGUUGUCUGAUUCCACCAGACCAGAUGCAACUCUCUCCUGCAAAUGCCGUGUAAUGAAAGAACAUGGAAAGUUACAACCCUACAAGGCAAGUUUUCGAAUUCCUGCGAACUAAAUUGGAUGAAAUGGUAAAUGGUACAUGAUGCAUCAGUUCCAUGAUGGAGUUGUCAUGAUACUGAUUAGAUAUAAUCUACUGUUCACAUUUCCAAUUUGUGGAAUAAUGUGCGAGCAGCAUUUCCACAUUGUUAAUACCUUAAUAUAUCCGUAACUCUUCCUCUUAAGUUUUCCUGUUGCUUGGCGUAGAGAUUGUUUACUAAGACUUACAUUGCAUUGCCAACUUUGUUUUAGAUUGAACUGAAUCAACUGCGUAACAUGGUCGUGGAUAUUUCAUGCACUACCAAAAAUCUGGACCUGAGACUGAUGCUAUGCACGAAGAGACUCGUCACAGAUCUGACUGUAAGCUGCUUCACCCAGUACCCUUCUUGUUUCAGCAAAGCAAUUAGUUAUAACCUAUUUAUCAUGGAGCCACAAUCAAAACAAACAACAGAAUAUUUUCGGUAAAUGUAACUGGACGAUGAGGUUUAAACCAUAUUGGAUGCAUUCCUGAACUUAUGCAGCUUGAAAUGAGGUUUUGUGAUCAUAUGAAUCGUUGCUAUUUCAGGACGAUGAGAUGCAAAGCAUUUGGGAUCUGAUUAAUUCCGCGAUUCUAGAUCCAGAUGUGAAGGGCGGGUUGAGAUGGCCUUCGGGAAAGGAUUCUUCCGGAGAUAAAUACAAAGUUGAUGGGGUUUGGCACUUGAUAGCUAAUACGUAUAAAAAUUCAUCGUUCAGACUGAAAGUCAGACAUGCGGAUCGAUUUGAUUUUAGAACCCUAUCUGGGGAAGCUACUUGGGAGACAAGUCUGAUGUUGAAAAAGGUCCUGUCAAAGUUGGAGGUAAACGCUGCCUAUUCUCUGGGACAACUUCUUUUACUUCAUUUGCUGAAAUAAAAGAUUUAUUUGAGAAGGUUUAUCGUGUGCUGAAAUCUCCUUUUCUCCAAUUUUCAGGAAGAGAAUGCCGAAGCCAGCUCGGUUUCUGAGAUACUGAAGGAAGACAUGCAUCUGAUAUGGGACAACUUCUUGAGCUGUGAACGUUUCCUGACAUGAAAAUGCAUGUUGUAAAUCAGGGAUUUGCUUUGUUUAAUUAGGUGUUUGUGAUUUCAGGAUGUUAAACCUUUGUAGUCGUAGUUAAGUGCUUAUUGGGAGAGUGAUUUGCUUGCUUAAUCUAGGUGUUUGCGAUAUGAGGAUGUUAACUUUUGCUUGAGUAUGUAUUAUUUUAGGAGGUUCUACCCAAAGUACAAUUGAUAAUUGGUGGAGUGUCUAUUUACUCUUGAGGUUCUACAAUACCUUCGACGAAGCUAUUGCAAGGUCUUUUAGUUUUUUAACGACGGACAACAUUCAGCAUCACACGUUAAAGAUCUAAAUGUUUAUACAUUAAGUUGUCCUUUGGUUUUUUUAACUUUCUGAUGGCGACGAUGAAGGGUUUUUUUUCUUCAUAUUGAUUUGUUGUCAUAGCAUAAGAGUUUUCUUCAAAUUGAUUUUUUUUAAUAAUGAAUAUCCUUUUUUCAAUUGGUUUUUUUAUUCAAGUGGCACAAAUUAUUCGAAAACUUGCCUUUUUUUCAAUUAAUUUAAUUUCGAAUCGGAUGAAUUGAAGAAAAUUAACGAACAUAUGAAACACCACAACCCCAUUUUAUUUAAAAAUUGUUUUAAAGUCUUAAUUGGUGAGUCAAGGGGGACCCACCCCUGAUUUCUGUCCCCAGCCUCCCAUCUCUCUCUUCCUUCUUCUUCGUCUCUCUCCCCCGUAACUCUCCCUUAGCUCUCUCCCUCUCAGCUCUCCCGUACCUCUCUCCCUCAACCUCUCGCAUCUCUCUCUUCCCCCGGACUCACUAGGACCGAGUCACCAUCGAACAGAGGCUCGCAACGAACCCCGGACCCUGCCCUGCGAGUUCGACGGCACGGAGUAAGCUCCGGCGAGCACCGCCCAUUUCGAGGCCAUUUCCGGCCAAACAAAGCGAGUUGGCCGGCGUGUAAGGUAUCAAUCUCUUCGUCUCCUUGGGUACUACAACUUUCCUUUUUGUUUCACUCAAUUUCGUUGAGUAUUGAAGAAGUUAUACUCAUUUGAAUCUUACCCAGUUUCCGGCGAUUCCGACGGCUUUCGAGGCAUUUUCCGGCCAAAACACGGCGAUUUAGACGUCGUGUGAGGUACCAUUAUCUUCGUCUCUUCAAGGGCUACAACUUUUGUUUUUUUUCUCGCUUGAUUUCGUUAAGUAUUGACAAAGUUAUGGCCGUUUAAAGCGAGUGUGGUUUUCCGGCCGAUUUCCGGCUUUCUCUCCCAUUGGGUCCGGCGACCCACCAAAACCCAAGGCUUUGGGCCUUCCUUGCCGAGCCCAGCCCUUUUGUGAGGCCUUAGGGCCAGGCUUUAUGUGUGUGUAUUAGGUGUGUGUGUGUGUUAGUUGUUUGGGUUUGGGCUUAAGCCCAAACCACCCAUUUUCACCCUAAACCCUUUUAACCUUAGAACCCUAAAAUCAAAACCCAAUAAAUCCUAAUCCUAUUUAACCUAAACCCUAAUCCGGAUUUCAAGCCUAAAACCCGUUAGACCUAAUUUGAUCGUUGACCUCCGGUCAACAUUGACUUUAAAGUUGACUUUUCGGGUUUUCGUCCGGGACCCUUCUUAGGGUAAUUCGACGUUCUGAAUCCGUUUCCAAUGUCCGUUUUCCCAAAUUCAAUUGCUAUUAUAUAGUUUUAUUUAUUGGACUCUUUAAUGUGCUUAGGGGCAAUUAUUGUGACGUUUCCGUCUUUGCUAGUGGCGCAGCUUUUGGCAACUAAGUACUGUGAGUGGACCCCUUCUAAAAUUACAUGAUUUCAUAGUUUAAUUGCAUAAUUGAUUAGCAUGCCUACAAAUUUAUGAUCUGAUUUAUGUGGAGCUUGUUGUUUUAAUAUAUUGAUUAUCGUCUCGUGUUUUUGGUGAGGAAUUAAUUGUUGGCCUAUUUUGAGCUAUAUUUUAAUAUAUCGUAUUUUCUAUAAAAACCAUGAACUGGUAGACUAUCUGACAGAUGACGAUAGGAUGCUAGAACAUGUUUUGAACCCCUCUUUAUAGUGUAGACGAUGAUCGGUAACCUACGCUAUGAAGUGGUAUUUACAAGAGGCGUAACAUUUUGUGCGUACCUAGUGGACACUAUGCCGCCUGGGGCGAGGAUCUGGUGUUGGCAUUUAGGCCGGGAGAAAUAAUCCCUAGCUACGGGCUGAGGGACAUGAAGAGGCAUUGGGCCGGGUGGUAGUUAUCUCUGGCUACGGGACGAUUUAUGAUGCGUUUACUGUUUUGAUUUCCGCGAUGUUAUUCCGCGAUAUGGCUUUUUGAGAUACUUUGGCAUGCUAGGAUUUUUAUUAAAUCAAUCACUUAUUAUGCUAGUAGUUUUCAUUUAUAUAAACUUUGGGGGUUAGUAUCUUGAUAACUGUUUUAUUAUUAUUGUAUUUAUAAACUUGGUCCACUCACCUUUGUUUUGUGCCCCCAUUCAGGACUUAGAAUCAAGGCACCUAAUCCCAGCGUCAAGAUACUUCCGCAGCAGCAUCUUCGGAUCCUCUCGAAUGUAGGACUCACUCCUUUAUUCAUUAAAUUUUAUCCUAAUUCUUCGUAGUGAUUAGGUUUAGUUGUAUGCUCUGAGCACGUUCCUAAACUGUUAACUCAUUGUAUUUCAAAUUUCUAACCUUUAUUUAUUUCUUAUUCUUAGCUUUUGUAUCAAUUAAUGGCUUUUGUCACCCCCGGGUGUCGGCCAGCACGUGUCGGUCCUGGUAUUCGGGGAAUAUCAGGGUCGGGGCGUGUCAACAUAAAUUAUCAAGGAGUGUGUGGAUAGCAUACCCCUUUACAUAUCUUAUUGAAGAUGCUCUAAAAAUUAAAUUAAAAUAGAAUUUCAUUUUCAUAAAGCUAAAAUAAAAAAAAUAAAAAACCUUCCAGCGAGGUUAAUAAGCACAAAUUAAAGAAAAAACCCUCCGGCAAGGUUUUCCACAAAAAAGACAUAUGACCCUCCACCAAGUUGUCUCUAAAAGGAAAAGGAAAAGCAAAAAAGUAUCUAAAAGGCAAAGAAAAAAACCCCUCCAGCAAGUUGUAUGAGAAAAAGAAAAAUAAAAACCCCAUCCGAUAUAACGACGGGAAGCCUUACUCGUAAUUCAUUGAGCUGAGUAUAUUCAAAGCAUUUUCAUCCUAAGCAUUUCCUUUUUCUUUCAUAUGGCGUCUAACUCUCCAGCUCUUCCAACGUUUCCAACUUUCUUACGAUUAAACUUGACCCUACCAAUUACCCUCUCUGGCAAGCCCAGAUGCUUCCCUUGCUUCGUAGCAGGAAUCUCGUCUCCUUUGUUGAUGGCACUAGCAAAUGUCCUCCUGCCUUUCUCAAAGAUGAUGAGGGCAAACUUACUCUGAAUCCGGAGUUUAAAGCAUGGGUUCAACAAGAUAUUAUGGUCAUGUCCUGGAUCAAGAGCUCUGUUCAUCCCACUGUGUUGGCUGCCCUAAUCGGGAAAACCAGUUCUCAUUCUGCAUGGACCUGUCUGCGCGAACGCUAUGAUUUGCAGCCCACUGCUCAGGGUCGUGAUGAAGCCAUAUCUCACAGUGCUUCAGAGGCCCUUCUGCUCACUGAUGAGCUGAAACAAAGGAUGCAUACUGUCUUCCCUUCUGAUACUAGACCCACUGCUCCCGCUGCUGCUCGUGGCGGUCGUCCUGGUACCUUCCGUGGUCGUGGCAAAGGCUAUAGAGGUAUUCGUGGUGGUAUGAGUACUCUGUUUUUAAUCGUCUCUUUUUUUUCUUUUCUUUUUUUCAGUUGGCCACAUUUUCAUCUUUGUUAUAGGCAUAAGUGCUAGUUCUGGAAUGGCUCACAUUCCACCACACAAGUGGCACUCGAAGGAAUCGGAGAGGCCAUUGCUGACUUCAGAGCUGCGUGCUCAACGAUUCAAGCCAUAUAACAAGUAUAAUGUGGAUCCGACUGGAAGAAUAGCUCAUGCAGACCAUUCUACAUAUAGAUGGUGCGCCGUUGCUUUGGGUGAGGAGAACCAAUUUCCGCCUUCUGUUAAUCUUAAGCCCAUUUGCUUGGAUUCCACUGAGCCGAAAGUUGAAGAAAAUCGUCUAGCUUUAAUCAACACUAGUCUAGAUGAUGGUUAGUACUCCUAACAUUUCUUUUAAUGCGUUUAUCUUUGCAUGUUGUUACUUGGGUUGUGUGGAUAUGUUUGGUUUUGUUGUUCAUGGUUGAUACGUGACAGAAGGCGGUGAGUUGAAAUGGAAUUCGCCAAGGAGCCCUGGGGUAUCUAUAGCAGAAAAUGUGCUGGAAGACUUGGUUUCUUCUUUUAAACACAUGAGGAAUGAAAUGAAGUGCGCGCAGCUCAAAGAAGGAAGGCCUACUUUGCUUGCUAGAGUGGGGAAAGUACUUUUUCUUAGGUUAGAUUUCUUCCUUAUCUGAGUCAUUUAGUUGAUUGUUUCAUGCGAUUAUCCUUUUUACCUUUAUGUUGUUCUUUUAUCCGCCUCAGAAUACUGGUUGAAGUAGAACAAUAUAAUAAUAGUCGAUACUAUGAUAUAAGGUUACAUUUGGCAUUUUAGAUUAGAAGGUAGGAUGCCAAGUUGGACAGUGAAGCAGGAUUCUAAAACUCUGCCCUUGUUUUUCGAUACUUGAUACAAUAUUAUUUUGUUAUCGAUGCUUAAUUACUGUCAAUCAUCUCAUACUUUAUAUCAGUUUUGUACAAGGACAGUUGUAUAACAAUUUUUGUUAAAAUCUUUGAAUCAGGAGCCGUUUAGUUAACAUGGAAGCCAUCAGAACAAAUUUGUGUACUGAAAUCUUGAAACAAUGGAGACGAUUAUUGUACACAAACAUUCCAGUUUCAUAUAAGGAAAGGAUUGUGAACGAAGUUGUCCCGAAAAUUGGAGUUGAUUUCGAAGGGGAGAAAGAUUCAUACCAAGUAAAGGUAUUUCCUUUAGACACAUCAACUUACUGAGUUCUGAGUUCAUGCUUUCUACAAUUUUAACGUUUGCUAUUGAAUCACUCAUCUAUGUCCUUCUUGUUUAGUUGUUUGAUUCCACCAGAUCAGAUGCAACUCUCUCCUGCAAAUGCCGUGUAACGAAAGAACAUGGAAAGCUACAACUCUACAAGGCAAGUUUUCUAAUUCCUGCCAACUAAAUUGGAUGAAGAUAUUUCCUCGACUCUUCCCCCUCUUAAGUUUCCCUGUUGCUGGGAGUAGAGUUUAUUUACUAGGACUUACAUUGCAAUGCCAACUUUCUUUUUAGAUUGAACUGAAUCAACUGCGUAACAUGGUCGUGGACAUUUCAUGCACUACCAAAGAUCUGGACCUGAGACUGAUGCUAUGCACGAAGAGACUCGUCACCGAUCUGACUGUAAGCUGCUUCACCCAGUACCUUUUAGAAAUUUACAUCUCUAUUCCUUGUUUCAGCAAAACAAUUAUUUAUAUCCUAUUUAUCAUGGAGCCACAACCAAAACAACCAAUAGAACAUUUUCUCUUAAAUGUAACUGGACAAUGAGGUUUAACCAUAUUGGAUGCAUUCCUGAACUUAUGCAGCUUGAGGAAAUGAGGUUUUGUGUUCAUAUGAAUCGUUGCUAUUUCAGGACGAUGAGAUGCAAAGCAUUCGGAAUCUGAUUGAUUCGGCGAUUCUAGAUCCAGAUGUGAACGGCGGGUUGAGAUGGCCUUCGGGAAAGGAUUCUUCCGGAAAAUACAAAGUUGAUGGGGUUUGGCACUUAAUAGCUAAUACGUAUAAAAAUUCAUCGUUCAGACUGAAAGUCAGACAUGCGGAUCGAUUUGAUUUUAGAACCCUAACUGGGGGAACUACGUGGGAGACAAUUCUGAUGUUGAAAAGGGUCGUGUCAAAGUUACAGGUAAACGCUGCCUUUUCUCUGGGACAAUUUCUUUUAGUUCAUUUGCUGAAUUAAAAGGUUUAUUUGAGAAGUUUUAUCGUGUGCUGAAAUCUCCUUUUCUUCCAAUUUUCAGGAAGAGAAUGCCGAAGCCAGCUCGGUUUCUGAGAUACUGAAUGAAGACAUGCAGCUGAUAUGGGACAACUUCUUGAGCUGUGAAGGAUUCCUGACGUGAAACUGCAUGUUGUAAAUCUGUGAUUUGCUUUGAUUUAUUAGGUGUUUGUGAUAUCAGGAUGUUAAACUUUUGUAGUCCUAGUUAAGUGCUUAUUGGGAGACUGAUUUGCUUUGCUUAAUUAGGUGUUUGUGAUAUGAGGAUAACUUUUGCUUCCGUAUGUUUCAUUUUAGGAGGUUCUACCCCAAAGUACAAUUGAUAACAGGUGGAGUGUGUGUGUGUGUGUAGUCUUGAGGUUCUAACUAAGAUAACGACGAACAACACUUUACAUCACACGUUAAAAAUUCAAAUGUUUGUAAAUUAAGUUGUCCUUUGGUUAUUUUAACUUUCUGAUGGCGAAGAUGGAGGGUUCUUUUUUUUUUUUUUUUUUUUUUCCUUCAUAUUGAUUUGUUGGCAGGGCAGAAGAGUCUUCUUCAAGGAGAAACUAACAUAAAUUGAUACAAAUGUAUGAUAUUGGUAUAAAAUAGUGAAUCGUUAUAUGAAAUUGAAAUACGUACGAAUUCGAAAUUAGGAAAACUAAUGAAAGAGUUUGAAAACUUUGAGUUUUAAUGAUAAAGACAAAAUAAAGGGUAAAGUGAAUAGUACCAGAAUUGACUUUUUAGUGUAAAAAUAUGGUUUUUCAUUAAAGUGAUACCGGGAACUUUUCGUUAAAGUUUCCUUUGAAAUUAAACGAAAACUUGAGGAGACGAAAUAUAUAUAUAUAUAUAUAUAUAUAUAUAUUUUUUUUUUUUUUACAUUUUUCGGUGGGAUAGAUAAUUUGCUUUCCAAAUUUCUGGCCCACUGAACCCCAAAAAUGGCUUUUGUGUUGUAACAUGAGUACUUCAAGAUAAUUUACAUCUCCUAUUGGAGAUGCUUUAAGAAUUUAACAGAAGAGUAAUGUUUGGUAAACCAGUUUUUUAUACUAUAUUUCUAAAUUAUGUGAUUUGUCACCAAUAGUAAAUAAACACGUUGAUCAAUACAUAAGUAAUAAUUCAAUCGUCAAUAAUUACGUCAUAUAGUUUACAAAAUAUGAUUUAGAUUAAUAAUCUCUAUAGCAUUACCCUUAAAUACAAAUAAAAAUUCAAUUGCACAAAGCUACUUUUAUUCGUUUAUUCGUCUUAAUAGCUACUCUAGGAGGAAUAUUUUAUGCGGUGUAAAAGUUUAAAAUCCUCCAGUGAGGUUAAUUAGCAAAAAGAUAAAGAAAAUACCCUGACAAGAUUUGUCAUAAACAUGAAAGAUGUUAUCUAUACAUCAUUUUUUAUAUCUUACACUCAUUUCUUAAUUUUUGAUUGUCAAGUCGAAUAAAUUAAAAAUUAUUAAAAAAUAACAUUUAACAAAAAAAAGUAAUAAGUAAAAAAAUGCGCGUAGAUAGCACCGUCAAAAAACUUAUAACCCUCCAGCAAGUUGUCUCUAAAAUGACAAAAGAAGAAGAAAAACCCUCUAGCAAGUUGGAAUUUAUCUAUUUUUAUGGGUUAAGUAUAAAGAGUAAAGGUGCGAUCUUUCGAAUUCCAUUCCAUUUCUAUUUUCUUUAAAACCUCACAAGGCAAUGCAGACAGUGAGAACAUAUAAAUACAGUGAAAGAAGUGGCGGUUGAUCACCCCAAUUUCUUUAUCUUCAUCAAAUUUCUCUUCCAUCAAGAUUUCAACUUUCAGUCUGCCUCUGUGUAGUGAUUACUGGGUAAGCUUAGCUCCUUCAUCUUCUCUCUCUGUCUCUCUACUUAUAGAUGGUUUGAAUCAUAUCUGCUCUCUGUUCUGUGUUCAUAUGAAUUCCAAGAUAUGUUUUGCUCCAAGAAAUUGAUAAAUAAUGAUUACCCAGUUGAUCAAUUUUUUAGGAAAGAACCCUACCAUAAUCAGAUUCUCACUUUAUUAACUCAACCCUUCUUUUUAAUUUUUGUAAUUGUUCCGAAACAAAUGAAAGUUCUGAUUUUCUCAGAAACCAAUUGGAAGUAAAUAGUUAAAUUAACCAAGAAACUUAGAGAUAAGCUUGAUAUUCUUAAAUAAACAUGAGAAAGAACACGUCUUGCUGCAUAAAUUCGAGUACUCUGUUUUUAAUCCUUUCUUCAUUUCGUUUUUCUGUUGCCCUCACUUUGAUCUUUGUGGUUUUUUAAGCUUAAGUUGUAGUUUUACAAUGGCUUACAUUCCUCCGCACAAGCGGCACUCGAAGGAACCGGAGAGGCCACUGCCGACUCCAGAGCUGCUUGCGCCUCAAUUCAAGAAAAACUUCAAAGACAAGCCAUAUAAUAAGUCUAAUGUGGAAUGGACUGGAAAAAUAGUUUAUGCAGACCAUUCUACAUCAAGAUGGCUGACGAUUGGUUUGGAUGAGGAGAACCAAUUUCCGCCUUCUGUUAAUCUUAAGCCCAUUUGCUUGGAGUCCACUGAGCCGAA
rnacentral:lncRNA from 1 species